rnacentral:lncRNA from 1 species
CAAACCCACACCGCGCACAGCGGAGCGCAGCGCAACGCAACGGGACGGGAAUGGCGACGGGAUCCGCGCAGGUCCCGGAAGCACUGCAGGAAGUGACGGUCAUUUCCACCCCCACCGCCCCCCAUCCCCCCCCGGGGCACCGCAGCCGCCCCCAUCCGCCCCCAACAGGGCCGCAGGAGCGCAGUGGGGAGCCGUGGGUGCCCGACAUGCUGAGCUCGGGGGACGAGGACCCCCCGCAGCCCCUGCUGUGGGUUUGGGUCCGGAGGAGGAGGAGGUGGAGGAGCUGCCCCAACACCGGGACGUCCUCCGGCUCCUCCUGCUCAGACGCCGACGAGGACGGCUGGACGACCACAACCACAGAGGGCGCAUCGCUGGACGACGCCGCCACCACCGCCGAUGAUGAUGCCGACGCCGAGGAAGCCGAGGCCGAAGCCGUCCCCUCCGGGAGACCCCGCGGCGCCGCGUCGGCCCGGAGGGGGGUGGGCACCCCCUGCGCCCAAUGCGGGCAGAGCUUCCGCCGCCCCGCCGCC